AAGAAGUCAGGCCGGUUUAAGCCAUAGUACGGUAAGAGCUAUGCUGCCUGUGAGCCCCGUCCAAGGACGUAAAAUGAAGUCAGGCCGAAAGCCACGGCUUGAGCAAACCGUGCUGCCUGUGGCUCCAUCGUGGGGAUGUAAAAACCCGGGAGGCUGCAACCCAUGGAAGCUGUACGCAUGGGGUAGCAGACUAGUGGUUAGAGGAGACCCCUCCCAAGAUACAACGCAGCAGCGGGGCCCAACACCAGGGGAAGCUGUACCCUGGUGGUAAGGACUAGAGGUUAGAGGAGACCCCCCGCACAACAAUAAACAGCAUAUUGA
rnacentral:lncRNA from 1 species